UAUUUCAGGCGACCCCCUGUCUAGCGAUAGUCAGAGGAGUGUGAGUAAUCUUUUAUCACGUGACCUGUACGGAGCCAAUUUUUUUCAAAUCAAGGUUGAUACACCUCUUGUGUUUUCCAAGGCUAAUCUGCAUACUCAUUGGGGGCUUCGACAGAAUUCUUGUCUUUUCGAGGCUAAUUUUACUACCAUUCACAGGGGGUUUUAAGAAAAUUCUUGUCUUUUCCGAGGCUCAUCUAUGUACCCUAAAGUAGGGUCACUGGCAAGCCCGCGUAGCAGGCUUUGUAGGGGAGCUAGUCUAUAUGCUAAAUGGUAAAUAUUGUUUUCAAAUUCCAUCUUCAAACUGCUUUAGGUGAGCAAUUUUUCAGUCCUUGUUUUUGUGUUAUGUGUUUGUUUUAGAUAUUUUUUGAAUUAUAUUAUCCACAGCGACCCAAAAAGUCAAGUACUGUAAGUAUAAUUGUCAAUUUCAUGUGAAAACAGAUAAAUCUGCUAUUGCCAUUUUAAAGUGUUUUAGAGGAUUUAUACAGCACUUGGUAGAGAUUCAAUGCAUCACACAGAUUAAAUAAAUGAAUGAUAGAGAAAAUGUAUCAACCAAACACAAAAGAAGUAACCAUCAUAUUAAAGAUGGCAGUGGCAUUUGUGAUUUGCAUGCAACUUAAGAGGAAUGGACAAAGGUUAAAAGCUGGCCUAGGCCAUGAGAAAAAUAUUAUCUACAUGAUAGCUUCACAAUGUGCUUUUUCAUUGUUGAGCAAACAAAACAUUGGGAUAAUUAGGUGUUUUCUCUAGCCUAUUCUUAAUGGCUAGGUGAUAUAGCAAUGUCUAUUCCCUUUAAUUUCAAAUUAUUUUGAGAUAUUUGAUGGACCAAAGGAUAUCAGAAAUAGUAAAUGUUUGUAAAGAUACUAAAUUUCUAAAACAGGAUAACCCACUAUACAUAUCCAAGAACCUGUUUCAUGCCCUAUGAUGAAGCUUUCUGCAACAAAGAAUUUCAAGACUCCGAAAUGAAACCUUUUAAUUUUAAGGCAAAUGAAUCAGGGUCAAGUAGCGCAAUGGAACUUGAUGGAGCCAAACGUUGCUUUCAGUUUAUAAGGAAUGCUAGUUUGACAAUAACAUCAUUCAUAAGUGAUCAUCACAAAGGAAUUGCAAAGUGAAUUCGUGAAUCACAGCCUGAAACCUCCCAUUUCAAUGAUUUGUGGCAUGUCUGCAAAGGUCUCUCAAAGAAGAUCUUGAAAGGCAUCAAGGAAAAAGGCUUUGAAGUACUGAAAUUUUGGCUCAAGGGAAUACGCAAGCAUCUUUAUUGGUGUGCCCUUUCUACCAAGCAAGGCUUUGGUUAGUUGAUUGUUGCAAAGUGGAGAUCCUUGAUGCGUCAUACUGCAAAAAACAUGAUGAACAUCCGAAUCAGUUGUACAAAGUGUGCACAUGGUGAACUUGAACACACAGGUCAUGCAGGUUGAUCAAACGCAGGUUAAAUCGCGUGGGUCAAAAAAGUGGCCAGGGGCGUGAGGUCCUCGGCUAACAGCCGACCACGCAAAAGUGGGAAUACAUCAAUGGUUGGAUGUUGGAAUUCAACAAGAAUUUUGAGAUCAGAAAGCGAUUAUCAAUAUCAGUAGGUAAGUUAUUCACUGUUUGUGGAACCCAUUUUUCCAUUUAAUUGCAGUUUUAUUAAAUGGCCCUGGAGCAAAGCAUGAGUAGAUCGGGAGCGUGGUUAUACAUGGCCAAAAAAUAUAAUGUAAACAUUAUGGGCCAGUUAGCCAAUACAGGCCAACAAACCAAUAUGAAAUGGUUUGAUGUGCAUUUGUGCUGUGCUGUUUGGUUUUCCUUGUUAAUCUGUUCAUCUUUGCACCUCUUGACAAGCUGUUAAUGUUUGUUAUGAAAGGGUACAUAUAUAUAAUUACUGCUCAUUAACCAUCUAAUUGGGUGACCUAAAAGGUUUCUUUGGUAUUGUUGCUGCAUAACAGAAUAAGAUAUGGUUAAAGUCUGCUCUUUGCAUACAAGGUAGGAAACACUCAGAAAAAUGAAACGAUAUUUCAAAACAUUUUGCUUUAGUGCUGUAAGUUUGACUUUAGUCAAUUAAAAUACUUAAUGAUGGCAAAACAAAGCCAUAGGAAAAACAAGACUAAUAUGUAUUUCAUUGAUGCUAGUUUCAAUUCUCCAGAGGUACACUAAAAUACAUUGCAGUGUUUCUACACCUGUUAAAGUUAUAGCCACCUGAACAAGAUGACUAACUAUUGAUUUCACGUAUAUUGUCAAUUUUUUGAUUCAUUCAAACUCAUGCAAUUCAGCAUGAUAUUUACAAUUUAUUGAAUACAAUAAUUAUUGCUUGUAUUGGUUACUUUCCCUAAUUGUGGUGUUGCAUUGGAAGCCAAAAAACUUAAAAUUGAACUAGACAAAAUAAGUGGUCAGUAUCAAAUUUUGUAACUUUUAUAUUUUUACAAAGAAAUAAUGAUAAAAAUUGUUAAAACAAUAGUUUUUUAAAAAUUCCUUAAUGACCCUCCAGUAUACUCCUAUAAUUAAUAUUUCAAGAAGCCUCAUUUGAUUACCACCAUCUAUAAAGAGAAACAGUUAUAAUUGAAUUUUUUCUAUCAAUUUACAUUCUUUAGGACUAACAUUACAGAACACACACAAUAUUUAUCUUUGUCUGUUACAAAUGGUUGAUAGUUACUUAAAAGAAUUUUAUAUUUUAGUUGAACAGCUAGACAAUAUUGGAGAUCAGGGCAAUAUCAACAAAGUUGGGAAAGAGGAUGAACAAGCAGACAAAUCAAUGGAAGUUUUUUCAUGUGAUGAUGAUUCAGAUGAUGGUAAUGAUGAGGUUGAUGAUUGUGAUGAUGAUUAUGAUAUAGAAGAAGGUAUGGAUUCUGAAGAUGAUGUUUUCGAGUUUACAGCUAGGUCAGAAAAAAACAAAAAGUUUACCAUUUUGAUAUGAUGAAGGAUAGAACUUGCUGUUUUACAAACAGAGGUGAAUCAGAUACAUUUCGAGCUGAAGCUUGCAAAGUUUUAUUUUGAGACUCCCAAUUAACUACCUGGAGAAUAAAAGCCUUGUAUAUGAAUACUCAUAUCUUGUUAUUUUGCAGUGAAAUUGAAACAGAUGUCAGGAGGCAUCCAAAGUACAUUGUUUUCUUGAUGCAAAUCCUUCUCCUUUUCAAAUUUUGCCCUGUUUGCAAGGAAGAUUACCCACAAAUCCGUUCAAGAGAAGUUGGAACAAUGUUAGAGGUAAAAACAAUAUGCAAAAAUGUUCUCUGCCCUAGAAGGAACAAUGUUUGGAGAAGCCAACCAGAGAUUAGUGGAACAAACAUUCCAGCUGUAAACCUGUUGUUGUGUUUUGCUAUUCUUGUUGCUGGUGGAUCAGCCAGUAAAGUUUUUAGAGUCUUUUCCCGAAUGGGACUUGCGUGUAUCUCACUGUAUACAUUCUUUAAGCAUCAGAAAGUGAGCAUUAUAAAUAAUUAUGGAUGGUCAAAAUUAAUCAUUUUUCUUUUCCAUGAUAAAUUAUUCUAUAGCAGGAAGCUCUUAAGCUCAUCACAGCAGAGAUAAAGUGAAGAUAAAGAAACAAUUCCUUAUACCCAUUCUCACAAGAACUUCAAGUUCAACUUCAAGUUUUAUCAAUUUGUUGUGGAACUAUCCAUUAUAACAUUUGGAAAAUACAAUUUGAUAUCCAAAUUCUUCAAAUUCAAUCAGAUGAAUGAUGAAAACAAUUUAUACUUCCUAUCAUUGUAGGUACUUAAAUUAUUUUAUGUUUAACAGCGUAAUGAAGUUGGUAACAGUGCUGGUAUGGAGUUUGAAGGUUUCAAGCGCUGCAUGGCAUUUCUCCAAAGAGGAAAUCUUGAGCCUUCGACAUUCACAUCAGACAGACACCUUUCAAUCACAAAACAUAUGAGGGAACAGCUUCCUAACAUCAGACAUUACUUUGAUCUUUGGCAUUUGAAAAAAAGCAAGUAAAUUUAUUAUUUCUUCUCUAGAGGAAAAUAUCAAGAGUAAAGUAUGAAAGCUGACAUUGUUUCGUCAGUCCUUGAAGAUACUUUUUACUAUGAAUGCUAUUUAAAACUAUACAAUAUUUUCAUGUUUUUACCUUUUACUAACAUUAUGACCUUCUCCAUAUAAUACUUGCUUUUAUAAUCAUAUCUAACACUAAAUGUGGUGAUUUUCUGGCGAUAAGCUUCUAAAAAGCCAUUGAGUUAAAAUUGUAUAAGGGGAUGAAAUUAUGUUAGUAAAACGUUGUUCUUAAAUUACAGAAAUUCGAAAAGUACUUCUGAAAAUCACCAAAAAUAAAAACUGUGGUGAACUAUCUGAUUGGAUAAAACCCUGUGAAAAUCACUUGUAUUGGAGUGCUACCUCGACACCUAGUGGAAAUGGGGAAAUUAUUUGGGCAAAAUUUUCAUCAUUCGUACACCACAUUGUCAAUGAACACCAGCAGUUCGAGAACCAACUGUUCCAUAAAUGUGCCCACAAUGAAGAGAUAGAAGAUCGAAAAUGGUUGACUAAAGGUACCUUUCAGAAAAUAUAACUUCAAGGAAAUUUUCUGUGAACAUGGGAGAAAUUGGAUCUUUUCAAAAUUUUCCAAAGUCAGAAUAAACCCAUCAUCCAAAAAUAGCCAUCAAAUGCAAAAAUUCCAUUGUCAUCAAAAUUUAAAAUAUCUUGUCACUCGUUGGUAUUUUUUGUUAUUCUCAGAUUCUGAAGGUCAUGUGAAGCUCAAACAGGCUCUUUCAAAAAGUCUUUUCAGAGUGGAGUCAAGCAAGCUUCUCCUCUUUCACAAACAAGCUGCCUGGAAGGGUUCCACUCAGUUUUCAACCACUUUGCACCAAAAAUAACAUCUUUCAGCUUUACUGGAAUGAUCAUACGACAUAUUUUGGCAGCUACACACUUUAACAGGAACCUCAAACGUGAACUGAGAACUUCUAUUGUCACCGGUUUACCACAAGUGAAAAUUGUGUAUCCAAAAUUUAAAAAUUGUAUUGCAACUGUGAGGGAUGUCCGUGUUAAGCAGAACUUUGGUAAAUACAGAUUAAUUUUUUUAUUUCUUGAAAAGCAAAUAUAAACAAAAGUUUUCCUAUUUAAAAAUACAUAGAUUUACUUUGAUUCAAAUUUUGAAGAGGCUAAGGCAAACAAAAUGAGGUCUAAUGCCCUUUUUAAAAAAAAUAAAUACUUCAAGAAAUUCAAUUUGUGAAUCACUCCUGACUCGGAUGUUACUAUCAGUUGUUUUAAUUUAAUUUUUUAUAAAAUGUAGAUUAUGUAACUGAGAUAUUCAAAACUCUUCUGGACUCCAUCAUUGAUGGGUCGCUAGAGGGAACCAGCAUGGCGCUAAAAGAGAUGGUGCCACCUCCAAUGCACGAUGUGUUUGAAAAAGAAAGCAGCACGAUUGCUGUUGAAAAGCAUUUUGCAAGGAAGGCAAUGGUAUCAGUUGAAGUUCCUCCAACAAAACAAGUGGAGGAGAUACAGCAGCAGAUGGAGCAACAGCAAACAAGCCUCCAAAAGGAUGUUCGCAGAUGCAGACUAUGCAAAAAUCCAUUAAAAGGCCAUAAAAAUGUCAUUAACUGCCCAAAAAAUAACUGAACCAAUUUUCAGGACUCACUGUGAGUUGGCCCACAUCGUUAAGCUAACCAUUUCUAUUUAGAUAUCAUUUUCAAGUUUAUACCAAAUCCCGGUUGAGGUUUACUUGUGUACCACAUUUUAUUUGUAAAUUAUCAUUGUAAGCCUUUUCAGUCUGCAACCUUACAAUAUAUGAUUCUUAUGGUUUCCAUGCACCUCUAAGAAAUUUGAAGGAAUUAAAAUAACCCAUUGUUUGAAGUAUCAAGUCAAAUAUUAUUUUGUAGCAUGUUUAUAUACAUAUAAAACAAUUUAAGAGUGCCCACCUUCAGCAAAAAGCCAGGGGCUUUUUCAUACAUAUAAAUAUGGGAUGCAAUAUCACACCUUUUGUGAUAUUUUUUUCUCUAGAAUGAUAGACUACUUGAUUAAAAAGGCUUUGCUCUCCAGCUGAUGUCCUUAGAGAAAGCAGAUAAUAAAAACAAAGUAUAAUUUUUGCAGCUCAAUUUAUCCUUUAGUCUUCAUCAUCAAAUCCCUUAAACUCCUCUCCUGGAAACUGUGUCCUGAUUUUGUGGUAAGCACCUGCUGGAAGUGGAAUACGUCUGUUUCCUAAACGUCCAUGGACAAGCCUUGAAAAUUCUCUAUAGGCAACUGCCCUGAAGAACCUACAGAAAGAACAGAAAAUUCCAGAUAAAGUCACUUGUCUUGUUCUAAAGGGCAAACAUUUUUGGUGAUUUGUAUCUAAGCACCAGUAUUUAAACAACAAUAGCAUUUAUGCAAAACAGAACACUGCAUAUGAUUUUAAAGUUUUUUUUCUAAAAUAGCAGCAAGUGUUUUGGUAAAUUAAAUCUUAAUCUAAUAGCAAAUUGAACAAUAUAAGAUUUGUCCAAGAUAAAGAAAGUGAUCAAUAAACCCACCCAUUCUCUGUACCAGUUUUCCUGUAUUUGACAUUUUCUUUUGUUCUAUAUUUGUCUGCCAAGUGUCUUAAUGAACAUUUUGCCAGACAAACUUCUGAAAAUCCUGGAUGUUGAAUGAUGCAUCGAGGGACUUCAUCAACAUCAUCAAACACCCUUUCAUCACUAAAACACGUGGCAACAGCUUCUAGCUCUCUGCAGCACUGGCACUCCUUUGCAGUUGAAAGCUUUUCUAUAUGGCAGUGGCCACAUGUACACCUAGAUGUUCAAAAAGGUAUCAAUUUGGUAUAAGAUGAAAAACAAAAUCAAAAAACAGAUAGAUAAAAAUAGAGAAUAGCAGGCUAUUUCGUGUGAAACAUUGCAAGAAGGUCUUAACAUCAACACCCUUAACAUAAAGGAAUAAACAUACUUUUAGUUAUUUUCAAUUAAAAAAAUUCAAGCGAAAUUGUAUAUGGUUUGUGUUAAUGCCAUGUGGAAAGAAUCAACACAUCCCAGUGAUAAAAACAAUCCUCGAGGGUAGAAAAUUUGAAGCCACUAAUAACGAACUUUGCCCUCUGUGCCCUUAAACAGUUGGAAUUGAUGAUAUAGUCUAUUUAAUAUCAAAUUUAUUUGUGUAUUAAUAACUAAAAGAAAUAAUUAUAAAUGGGUCACCUAACUAGAAUAAUCGACUUCACGGUUGCAACGUUGGCGAGUGAGGCCUAAUUAGCCAAAGGUGUACAGAUUAUAAUGUUACUCACCAUGACUGAGUCGUUAAAUAACUGCUAAGUCGCAUCGAAAGAAUUUCGUUUCUCUGUCUCUCCUCUUCUCUCCGAUUAUAAUACUGUUGCACCCAGUUCGCGUCCGCCAUAGGUUCUCCGGUAUAAGGCCUAUCCAUAUCAUCAUCGUUGCUACGUGCCGCUCCUUCCCUUACAACAAAUUCAAGUUCCUCAUCUUCUUCCUCAAAUUUACUUAAACUCGCGUUUUCAGAACGGCUUUGGUCAGUCUCAGAGUCGGAACUCAUGUUUAAGUUUAAAAGACAAGUUUGUAAACGUCUAUGUGUUGAUCUUUAGCCCAGUGAGGGAGUUCUUGCAAAACGAGGCAGAAGUCACCAUCAUUCGGGAUUGUACGUCAUACACUCUGCUCGACCCAGUCAUUUUGCGCAACAUUACCCAGAAUGUGGCAUUUCCAAACCCCUUUCUUGAGGGUAUAUCAAGACUGUUAUGGUUAAAAAUGUUUAAAGUUGCCAAAAUUAAUACUUUGCCUUAAUUUAAGUCAGUUUAUGGAAAAAUUUUGAGCUGACCGGAUAGGCACUUUAACAGGAUUAAACUGCAAUCAUGGAUAAUAUUCCACUGAUCUCUUUUGGACCUAAUUUUUACCUCAAAAUGAACGUUAGCUUGUUGGUGCAAGGUUUCUGCUUCUUUGUUGGUCCAAUUUGGCUGCAUUCCAUUGUGUGCUUUUUUGUGACUGUUUUCUGGCAUGUCAUGCCACCUUACGUAAUUGUCCUUAAGUCAGCUACUACAAUCUACUGUUGACUAAUGUGGUUGCAAGUUCUCAGCAGUUUUUUUACUCAAAGUAUCAUUUCAUACACCCACUUUCUGCAAUAAUAAUGAAUGAGUCUAAGAAAAUGCAUCUUUGUUAAACAUUUUCUUUGUUUUGUGAAAAUUAAUUGUACAUAUUGGUAUUUGGUCUGAAACAAUAAAAUGUUGAUAAUUCGAAUGUGAAAACUACUAUCUCAUGCAAAUAUACUGCAACAGGAUUGAUUGGCAAUCUUUUCAGCAACAUCAUAAGCACUCAGAUCUAGUUUCAUGCGUGUGACACUGGGUGGCUGGAUAAUUUUUCUUGCAUCUAGAAGGUCUGCUAUUGAUACUGAUUUUGGAAAUGCUGAAGAAGGGACUGGUGCCAGAUGUCUUAUCUUUCCUUUAGGCUGCAUUGUUGAUCUGUGUGGCACACUUCUAGAGUGGGACAAGGUAGAUACACUAUGUUUCCAACUUGGUGAACAACUUAUUUGGCUAUCUAAUGCAACAUCUCUUCCAAAGCUAUGAAUCUUUUGUGCUCUGGUAUCGACAGCCAUAACACUAUUAUGUAACACCUAAAUCCCUUUAUGUACCGCCUCUAAUUCACCUUUUGUAUACCCUCACACAUUAUGUAACACCUUCUGUACCGUAUUAUCUAUUUAUCGAGGAAUAUUCCAGUGUAUCAACAUCUCCUGAAGAGUGAGUUACUCACGAAACAGGCUUGUAGAGAUAAACCAUGUAGUCUUAUUUUCUUCAACUCUAUGAUAUAUAUAUUUAUAUAGAUAUUUAGAAAAAACACUAUCGCUUAAAUGUUUUGCCUGUAUAACACUGAUCCAUAUAUCUAUAUGAAAGAAAAUGAACAGUAUAGAAUGCCUAUGCUGAUACACGCCUCUUUAAAGUGUGUACAGUACUCCAAUAGCAUAUUGGCUGCCAGAUCUCGUUCAGCACAUGGCUGUGGAACAACGCCCAGUACAGCAAGGCUGUGGUUGGUAAAACACCGUUUUUUCUUAGUUUUCUGACAAGCUGAGCUUGUUAUUUGUAUGGUUUUAAACAAACAUUGCUGCAUUGGUGGAACGCAAGAUCUCCGCGGGAGAACGCUUUAGGCUUGUCUACUGCGGUGCCCUCAUCGGUCAUGUUUGCCAUUCGUACAUUAUCACUGUGGAUGCCUGACAUGACAAUAACCACAAGAUCCAUCAAUCAUAUGCUCCACAAAUCAGCAUACAACAACCCUUAAGCUCCACUCUCGCUUGAAUCUAUGCCUGCGCUUGCUAAGAUAAUACAAGAGUAUCUACGAAAUCAACACUUCAUAAUGGCCCGCAACUACCUUCCAAAAGACAAAAAAGACACACAGAAUUCAUCCACCACCAAGCAAGGUACCAAAUUUCUACUUUACAAAUUACAAACUAUCUACAUCUAUAAUGUUCGUUCUCCUCACGUGGUUUAGCACUCCAUACCAGUAUUUCAUAUCAUACUCGUUACAUAUAUAGCUAAAAAUCAUAUUUGAAGUAAUUUUUACCAGAAUCCGCAAAGCAUACACCUGUCAGUGCACAUAUAUGCAUGUACAUAUAAAGCAAACGCAAUGUACACAUAGAAAAAUAUAUAUCUGUAACUAUAUAUCUAUUACAUUGGUACAUUCUAUAACCUAUGAAACAUUGCACGACCCACCUUUAGGGUAUAGGCAUGACCACACAGGUUUGGUUGUCCAAAAAACUAUCGAGAACAAGAAGUUUUGUGUACACAUCAUCCAAAUGGUGAAACCUCUAUACAAAUAUUCAUAUGUGUGUAUAUAUUUCUGUAUAUAUAGAGUAUUAUCACACAACAUAUCUCAUAACAUUGUUAUACCUUUACUUCCACAGCUAACACAAAAUAACUUCUCAACAUGGUGCUGGAAACCACCAGCAAGGACGAACCCAUCAAAGGUGCCAAACGCACACCCGAGAACACCAGGCACGGCCUCUCUGGUUAUAAGAUACCAAAAAAAAAACAACUGUCCUCCACCCCUCUCAAAAAGAGGGCUGAAAAAACACUCCCCAGCCAGCAUAAUGGUGGGGAACACCAAGAGCAGAACGGCAAAUUGAUUGCUCUUACAUCUAACAGCCUGGCAAGUAGCUUCUACCACCAGGAAUUUCAGCAACACACAGAGAAAGGUCGAUAUCCGACUUUCUCUACCCAGGGGUCAACGCCUAUUACAGAAGUGACUUCUCGUCGGAUUUGCAAAAACAAGAGGCUUGUUGCACGUUCCCAAAGACCAUGUGCAACAUACUGGCCUCUCAUCACGAAUCAAUGAGGUCAUCGCAAUAUGAUCUCACACAAAACUAUAAAAAACAUGGCCCGAAAAAGAUAUCCCGGUGCGUACGUUGGUAUUGUAUCGAGAGCAGAAACGCUAACUAUGGACAAACACAUAAAAUACAAAGGAACCAGAGAGGGCCAAACACCAGGCAACAAGCGGAAACGUGAACGUCGUUGAACAAUUUUGGAUUUACAUAAAAAUAUACAUAAAAUUUUAUUUACAACGAUACUAUCAAACCUCAUUUACAUUGUCUUCUAUUGUCCUGGUUGCAUACAGGAUCCGACGGUACACGUAAAUUUACGAAUCAACAUACCAAAACACGCCUUGGAAAGAUUUUAGGCCAAAAUAAGAAACAGCGUGUGAAAGCAAAAAAAAAAAAUCAUCAGCACGCAAAUACCUUUUAAGCAAAAUACAACAAUCUCACAAUAUGCAAUAUAGCAAUAUUGUCAAUCUGAGUGAUUUGAAAUUUAACUCAUUACAGAAAAAAGUCUUAAAUAAAGGCUUAAACUUCGUAGUCACACCAAAAAAUGUAAAUAUACAUACAACAUUACAGUUGUUUAAUGAAUUCCAAAGACAAAUGCUCUACUGCUAGGACAACAAAAAGGAUACAACUGCCUUUCCAUUUAGUGGGAAAUCCAGUUGGGAACCUGAAUCUGUUCGAAACCCCAACAUUUACACGUAUCUUGAUAACAGACAUCCAGACGUUUUAAACUUAUACACAUAAAACUACCAUAACCCUCCAAAUAUUUCAAGAGGAGCAAGAGGCCAUUUGUGGCCUGAAACAAAUAUAGAAUAUUUCAAUAAAAAAUGCCGACAAAGAAGGCAAAAUUGUACUAUGGCUUAUACUAUGGUACGAUUGGUACUCAUCUAUGAAUCACAGCGAAGCCAGUUCUAUUUUUCUCUUCUGAGAACAUUUCCAGGGUGCUCUUUUUUGCUAUGCAUUGGGCAAGAAAAAUGUUUGUUAAUAAAAUCUCAAAGCAUAUCCAAAUCGACUAAUCAUAAAGAGUACAUUUAAGACCUGGAGUUAGAUGCUCAACCUGUCAAGAUAAUGUCUCCUUUUGCACAAGUAGAAGGUCUAAAGAUAGAACAAUUGAAAUCAAUUGCAGGUCUCUACUUGCCACAAAUACAUUGAAUGAAGGGAAUAAGGCAGGCACUUCCAAAAUUUUGUGGAAUAAGGAACCUUCCUUACCCAAUUUCUUUUAAGUUAUUUAAUCACAAUCUAAGGAAGGUGUGAGCAGCAGGUCUACUUUGCACAAGCUUUGCCUACCACAGAUGCUUUGUGCCACACAAAGCAACGGAUAUAUUAGAUAUGCUGUCUGACCCUACAAAUGUGCUUUACUCUCAUUUCAUCUCCCCAAUCAAAAAAGAGUUACUGCAAUAAAAUUGGUUUUUGAAGCCACAGAUGCCAAUCCAAAGGGUAAUAAUCCAGAAGCUUACAUUGCACCAUGAAAGCUGGCAAUAUAGACCUUUGAUAGACAGAGAGAAGGCACUGAUGCCAAUUCAGAGGAUAUGGUCCAGGAGCUUACAUUGCAUCACAAAAGCUUGCUAGACAGACUUUUUGACAGACAGAGAGAAUAAGUGCCAAUUGAUAAAGGUGACCUUGGAGCAGAGAUAAUUCAUGAGUUAUUCAUAUACUGAUGCCAGUUCAAUUGAAUCUACAGGCAAAGUCAAUGAAAUGCAACAAAUUUGUAGCGAUAUGGAUACAUAGGUUUUGAAUCAAGUUAAGAAACAUCUUCUAAAGUCCAUUGCCAACAUUGAAGGUCUGAGCGACCUUUCAACAUGCACGAUCCGAACCCAAACAUCACGAUUUGUCUUCAAAGAUUUUACAGUGACGCACCUUCUAGCUGUCAAACAAGUUGACAUUGAGCAACAGUUCAGGAGAAUAUUACAUCUUUGCUUGAACAAAGAGUCUGUAUUUAGUGGUAGGAUCCGAACCGAUACAAUGAAAUUUUGGUCAGGAGUAUUUAUGUAUUGUCCUGUGUUUUGACUCCAGUCAGCAAUCCUGUGGUUGAAGGGGUUUUUCAACUGUCACAAAUGUGAAGACCAAAGUGCAAAAUGGCCUUGGUUCUGAAAUGCUUGAUACAAUCAUUCGGAUUGGUACUCAUCUUCAGUUCCUAAGAAAGUGCUGUAAAGAUUCACAGUUACUAAGAACAUGUUUGAGCCCUCCACUUGGCAGAACAUGUACCCAAAUGCAGAUGCUGAGGAAGAUAUAGACUAAAUAAGAGAAAAUGACGAAAUAAAGCUUUCAAAAGCAGAAAAAGAUAUGUAGAAAAAUCAAAAGAACCAUUGUCAUCAUUGGAGACUCCAUGUUAAAAGAUAACCAGCCCAAUAAGCUUGCCAAAACAUUAAAUGCACAGGUGAACAAAAUCAGUAUCAAUAGAAUGGGAUCAACCAAACUAAAAGAUUAAUUGCAACAGCUUAUCUAAAAUGCCACCUGCAAUCAUUAUGCACUGUGGGAUAAAUGACCUGAUGCAAUCUGUACCACUGCAAAACAUUUAUCAAAAUAUCGAUUCUCAGCAAUGUAAAAGGUGUGAUUUUUAUUGAUGGUGUGAUGUAAAUCUUAAUUAUAAUUAUAAUUAAGAUUUAAUUAUAAUUAUAAUUAUAAUAUUAUCUUAAUUAUAAGCCAUAACUGUUAAAGUAUAAUUUUUUGCUGUGAAAGCCAAUAUUUAUGUUCAUUAAAUGAGGACAUAUUGUUCUACUAAUUCCACGCUGUGGCAGUCGCUUGUGCGCAUAGAGAUGUGGACGAGGAAUUCCCACAAGAGUCUCAUGUAGGCACCCCAUACCUACAAAAGGCUCUAACAGAUCAGUAAAAACUCAAGCAUUUGUGAAUGGAAGAAGCUUAAGUGAUUAUUACCCUUUUUGCUGUUAUGUUUCAUUAAUAUAUGUUUGCAUUUACAGUUCAUUUUAUGUUUUUCAGUAUCAUCCCCUAGUAGCAACAACACUAGAAUUGAUUUUGAUGUAUAACAGGCUUCUAGUUAAUAUUGCAAUAGUAGUUGUUAUAGAUAUGUAAGAUAAUACCAAUUAGAUUAUACAUAUGUAUAUUAUGAAAGUUUUAUUCACGUCCCUAGUUACUUAUAAUUGCUAUAUUUGCACUCUUGCUUCACUAAAAACUUCUAAUUCAUUUUAGAAAUUCAAGCUUCAAAUAUGGUAGAAAAAGGGGUCCAAUGUAACCUGAUUUGGUUUGACUCUUGAACCCCCGUUAAAAGCGAUGAUGAGGAUGAUGUAGAAAAUUAUGGAAUUAAUGAUCCAACAUACAAUCCAGAAGAUGUUACAACGGAUAUUUCACACAAUGAUAGCUUAAUGGAUAUAAAAGAAGGGUGGGUGUGUUUCUGUCUGUGUGCGUGUGUCUGUCUGUCAGUCUGUUUUUGGGUCUGUUUGUAUGUGUGGUUUUAUCCACUUCUAAUAUAUGUAUGAUCAUCAUACUGAACUUACAAAAACAAUGUAGAUAUUAUCUUAAAGUGCAUAUAACCCUAAAUGAGAUUAAAUCGUUUUCAGUUAAACUGAAUACGCUGAAUUUGAAAAUGAAUAUUAAAUUGCAAUGUUGUCAUUCUGCCAAAGGAAUUUCCUUGCACAAGAUACCAUUUUUUGGGGAUGAUAGGCCAGUGGCCAAGCGAAGAAGAAGGCAAUGGAUUGCCUUUGUACAGAGGCGAAGGGCUCAUUGGUGUGCAAUAAAAUCCUCCGUAAUAUGCUCUGCUAAUUUUAAGCCAGAAGAUUAUGAAAGAAGGAUGACCAAUCUUUCGGGUUUUGGGUCCAUGAAAGUUUAUUUAAAAGAGGACGAAAUCGGCGUUGUUCCGGUACCAUCUGUUUACCCCGUUGUAAAAGAGCAAGAAGAAGGAGACUGUCCUAAAACCAGUAGCAGGCAACGGCGAAUGGUAAGACUAGAUCAUUUCUACUGUGAGUAACAUAUUCCGCCAGUCACAUUCAUUUUUUUAUUAUACACAGUAGCUCGACUGACUAAACAAUAAAUCUACCUUCAGUUUAAACUCCAAGGCCCCCCAGAAAAAUUAUACUGGUAUUCUUAAUGUAAUAAACGAGAACAAGGUUCGGGCCUUCAUGAUAUUGCAGCCUUAUAUCUAGGGGUCACUAAGCUGUAUUUUUUGGAAAUUGAAAAACAAAUUUUCUUGACUCAAUUUUCCCCCAAUUUUCAUUAGUGUUUUUUCGAAAACUUUUAUUUACCUUUAAUUGUUUUAUUUUUGAAGUUGUUUCCGUGUGAUAUAGAAUUAUGCUAAUAACCUGAAUAGGUUAAUUUCAAUUUAAUUGCCUGCUAGAAUUUUAGUCUAGAAAAGGUUCGAAACAAAUUUUUGUUUAAGUGCAACUGACUAAGUUUUCAUAAGUUACUAAAUUUUUGCCUGACAUGAAUUUUCCUCUAAAUUGUGAUCACACCCUUUCAGAUGCUGGCUGAAGUCAUUGGCUUAUUGCAGAUUUUCAAUUUUUCUGAGAGACCAACUUUUGCUUUUCGGGGGUACUGCCCCCUUCUAUGCUAGCGAUGGUCUUUCCAGAGCUAUAUUGACUUGUAUAUUUAUCAAUUUUAGGAUGCAAAUGAUACAUACCUUUUGAUCUGGAUUGGGAAUGGAGGGUUGAGGGUAGCAGAAGUUAAAACUAGUAUCUAAGUAAAGCCAAGGAUUAUUUUAAGGUUUCACUAUCACAUAAUGAUGUCAAAGCAAUACUUUAUAUUGUAGACUAUAAAAGCUGCUCAAGAAACUGAUGUUUCAGAAAUUGUAAAUGCAGACAUUGAGUUUUCUGCAGAGGAAUUUGCUGCAGAGGAAUUUGCUGCAGAGUUUAUACAGUACCACACAGAGCUGGUAUGUUAUAGGAUUUAACUGGUUUGAAUCACUGAUCUAAAAAAAACUGGAUCGCGCAUCCUAUUGUUCUCAAACCUUAGAAAGUGUGGCCGGCGAACUUGCGCCAUGCGCUUGUGACCACUUCAGCGGGAAAUUGAAUGGCUAGGACGCUGGGGUAUAAGGUAUUCGCUGCAUUUAUUUUGGCUGUAAGAAAUGCGAAAUAGGGAACUGACGAUGAAAAGGGAAUAAAUGACAACAAGGACCAUGAGAAUCAAGGAUUGCAAAUAAAAAGGAAGCUAUGCUCCACUUUUUCACAGUAGAGCAACUUGUGUGCAUCUUUGACUUGGUGGAUUGACAAAGACAUGUGCCUUCACCACUUGUUUUGAAAUGAAAUAAACAUCUGUUUGUAAAACCAUAAAGGUUUGCCAUUUUUAAGUUUUGGAAAGGAAC